rnacentral:rRNA from 1 species
UACGGGGGGGGCAAGCGUUGUUCGGAAUUACUGGGCGUAAAGCGCACGUAGGCGGAUAUUUAAGUCAGGGGUGAAAUCCCAGAGCUCAACUCUGGAACUGCCUUUGAUACUGGGUAUCUUGAGUAUGGAAGAGGUAAGUGGAAUUCCGAGUGUAGAGGUGAAAUUCGUAGAUAUUCGGAGGAACACCAGUGGCGAAGGCGGCUUACUGGUCCAUUACUGACGCUGAGGUGCGAAAGCGUGGGGAGCAAACAGG